AGACAGGUUAGACAGGUGGUAUGUAUCUGAUCACUACUGUAGUAGGGUUGGAAGGUUAGACAGGUGGUAUGUAUCUGAUCACUACUGUAGUAGGGUUGGAAGGUUAGACGGGUUAGACAGGUGGUAUGUAUCUGAUCUCUACUGUAGUAGGGUUGGAAGGUUAGACAGGUGGUAUGUAUCUGAUCUCUACUGUAGUAGGGUUGGAAGGUUAGACAGGUGGUAUGUAUCUGAUCUCUACUGUAGUAGGGUUGGAAGGUUAGACAGGUGGUAUGUAUCUGAUCACUACUGUAGUAGGGUUGGAAGGUUAGACAGGUGGUAUGUAUCUGAUCA